rnacentral:rRNA from 1 species
UACGGAGGGAGCUAGCGUUGUUCGGAAUUACUGGGCGUAAAGCGCACGUAGGCGGCUUUUCAAGUCAGGGGUGAAAUCCCGGGGCUCAACCCCCGGAACUGCCCUUGAAACUGGAUGGCUAGAAUACUGGAGAGGUGAGUGGAAUUCCGAGUGUAGAGGUGAAAUUCGUAGAUAUUCGGAAGAACACCAGUGGCGAAGGCGCUCACUGGGUAUGACGCUGAGGUGCGAAAGGUGGGGAGCAAACAGGAUUAGAUACCCCCGUAGUCC